rnacentral:rRNA from 1 species
AUUGAACGCUGGCGGCAUGGCUAAAACAUGCAAGUCGAACGAGCCCUUCGGGGCGAGUGGCGAAAGGGCGAGUAACGCGAUCGAACGUAUCCCGAGGCGGGGGAUAGCCUGUGGAAACGCAGGGUAAUACCCCAUGUCCUCUACGGAGAAAAGGUUUACCACCUUGGGAGCGGCGAUCGUCCUAUCAGGUUGUUGGUGAGGUAACGGCUCACCAAGCCGAAGACGGGUAGCGGGUGUGAGAGCAUGACCCGCCGCAUCGGGACUGAGACACUGCCCGGACUCCUACGGGAGGCUGCAGUAACGAAUCUUCCGCAAUGGGCGAAAGCCUGACGGAGCAAUGCCGCGUGUGGGAUGAAUCUGCUUCGCAGUGUAAACCACUGUCAGGGUCUAGCAAUACUGAGCAGACCCAGAGGAAGGACCGGCUAAUUCCG